UCAUAUGCUUGUCUCAAAGAUUAAGCCAUGCAUGUCUCAGUGCAAGCCGUCCACUAUAUUUACCUUAUAGUACACGGUGAAACCGCGAAAGGCUCAUUAAAUCAGUUAUGGUUCCUUAGAUCGUGCACACGUUACUUGGAUAACUGUGGUAAUUCUAGAGCUAAUACAUGCCGACAGAGUUCCGACUAGUGCCGGGCACGCGCACACACAUGUACACGUGCGUGCGGCUCAACCCGCCGCCUUGGUAUCGUGUGCUGUGUGCGUGUCCGGAGUACGGAAGGAACG
rnacentral:rRNA from 1 species